rnacentral:rRNA from 1 species
UAUACAGCGAAACUGCGAAUGGCUCAUUAUAUAAGUUAUCGUUUAUUUGAUAGUGCCUUACUACUUGGAUAACCGUGGUAAUUCUAGAGCUAAUACAUGCUAAAAACCCCGACUUCGGAAGGGGUGUAUUUAUUAGAUACAAAACCAAUGCCCUUCGGGGCUCUUUGGUGAUUCAUGAUAACUAUACGAAUCGCACGGCCUUGCGCCGGCGAUGGUUCAUUCAAAUUUCUUCCCUAUCAACUUUCGAUGUUUGGGUAUUGGCCAAACAUGGUUGCAACGGGUAACGGAGGGUUAGGGCUCGACCCCGGAGAAGGAGCCUGAGAAACGGCUACUACAUCCAAGGAAGGCAGCAGGCGCGCAAAUUACCCAAUCCCGACUCGGGGAGGUAGUGACAAUAAAUACUGAUACAGGGCCCUUUCGGGCCUUGUAAUUGGAAUGAGUACAAUUUAGAUCCCUUAACGAGGAACAAUUGGAGGGCAAGUCUGGUGCCAGCAGCCGCGGUAAUUCCAGCUCCAAUAGCGUAUAU